GGCUAUAAGAGAGACCUAGCUGUGGCAUGUCCCACCCCAAGGAUCACCAUAUUUGAUUUCUGGUUGAUCAAGCUGUCUAGGCAAUUGUUCCCUUCCUCCUUCACAACUCUAUGUGUCCUUCCUAAAGCUGCAUAUUCAGUUGAAGAGGACAACCUGACCUAGCCUCUAGAUGGUAUACAAGGAGUUGUUCUCACCUGCUAGAACCUUGAAACAAGUUUUCAGAUAUUUUAAGAUAUCAUUAAAAAGUCAACCUAUCAAAACCUAAGAAAAAAAUGAGUAAUGCUGUC
rnacentral:snRNA from 1 species